UACGAAGGGGGCUAGCGUUGUUCGGAAUUACUGGGCGUAAAGCGUAUGCAGGCGGAUCGUUAAGUCGGGGGUGAAAUCCCGAGGCUCAACCUCGGAACUGCCUUCGAUACUGGCGAUCUUCGAGUCCGGGAGAGGUGAGUGGAACUCCGAGUGUAGAGGUGAAAUUCGUAGAUAUUCGGAAGAACACCAGUGGCGAAGGCGGCUCACUGGCCCGUACUGACGCUGAGGUGCGAAAGCGUGGGGAGCAAACAGG
rnacentral:rRNA from 1 species